rnacentral:rRNA from 1 species
AUUGAACGCUGGCGGCAUGCCUUACACAUGCAAGUCGAACGGCAGCACGGGAGCAAUCCUGGUGGCGAGUGGCGAACGGGUGAGUAAUAUAUCGGAACGUGCCCAGUUGUGGGGAUAACGUAGCGAAAGCUACGCUAAUACCGCAUACGAUCUACGGAUGAAAGCGGGGGAUCGCAAGACCUCGCGCGAUUGGAGCGGCCGAUAUCAGAUUAGGUAGUUGGUGAGGUAAAGGCUCACCAAGCCGACGAUCUGUAGCUGGUCUGAGAGGACGACCAGCCACACUGGGACUGAGACACGGCCCAGACUCCUACGGGAGGCAGCAGUGGGAAUUUGGACAAUGGGCGCAAGCCUGAUCCAGCAAUGCCGCGUGCAGGAUGAAGG